GACCAGAGCCUUUACAAAAUGUUUCUUGUCACUGUGGCAGGAGGCCUUCAGGCCAGGCUGCAAGACUUAGUGUCCUGCAGCUGUUCUAAGCCUUCCCUAUUGUAGCUUUCUUCAAGGCACAGCUGCAGCCCUCGCUGCCCUGCAGCUUUCCCAAGGCCUCUGUCCUGCCACUUGCCCUUAAUCCCGACAUAGACAUGGCAGAGAGACCUCCCACCCCACCCAAGAAGGUGGAGAAUUGCCCUUGUGGUGCUGCACUCCAGCGACGUGCUGACUUGGAGCAGCUGCAGCUGCUGCAGAAGAGUGAGUGAAAGAGCUGGGCCACAGGGCUGGCCUGGGCCACAGGGCUGGCCUGCAGCCAGCUCCACCCUGCCCCAUCCCGUCCCUUCCCUGCGGACAUGCCCAUGGAUAGGGCAGAAGAGGGGCUGGGGCUGGACCCCCUGGUAGCCUGGGGCAUCCUGGGGCUGUCCCUGCCAGGGGAGACUGCAGGGCUGGGCUGUGCUCUCUGGCCUCUCCUGCAGCUCUUCAGCUCUGGCAUUCCUUGCUCUUUGCCAGAUGCAGCCAAGGACCCGGCACAAGGGCUGGAUCCUGCCCGUAGCUGCUGGCACUCUGUAAGCCAGAAGCUCACAAACUUCACUUGGUGUCGAGAGAUGAUCAGCAUGUUCACCAAGGGUGCAGCAGAGGCUGGCCCCACAGCCCCUCAGAGCAUACCUCCUGCUCCCAGCCUGGAUCAGUUUGGGGAGAGAGUUGUCUCCACUCCCAGUCAAGUGCCAGGCUUUGUUAGGAACAUGCACCAGAGGCUGGCGUCCAACGAGCCUCCAGACGACUGGCUGUUCAUGGACAUCCUGCGGCUGACCGAGGAACAGCCCACUGAUGUGGCAGUGACCCUGCUGCGGUGUGCCCCAACAUGUGACAGCUUUGUAGUGAGCACUGUGAAGUCGUUCCUGUACCACCUGCAAUGUGUGAAUUUACUGAUGGCUCUGGAACGGAAGUGUGCCUGGGACACGCUGCUGCGUGCUGAAACCCACCACUAUGCAAUGGGUCUGCUGGCCAGGGAGAUGCGCCGUGUCUGCCAACCUUUCUGCUCCUGCGUCGCACUCCGCCUGCUCUGCCGGCUCAGCCAGGAGGAGCCAAGCUGGGAAAUGGCCUCCCUGGCGUUCCUGGUGGAGGUCCUGGAUUGCCUGGAUUUGAAUGAAUGGGGUAACAACAUCCUGGAGAUCUUGACCAAGCACCUGCUGAGCGAGUCCAUGGAGAUGCGACGCCUGGCCCUCAGAGGCCUCGUGAUGCUCAGCAAAGACCCCUCAAUGGUGAGAAGGAGGCAGCAGCUGAAGCUGUGCUGGCAGCGUGGGGCUGGGGCAAGCAGCCCCUUGGGCUUGGCUGGGCUUUGGCAGCUGUGGCAGCUGUUCCCAGCUCUCCAGGGUUGCUGUUCAGCUGCCUGCUUUGGGACAGCCAUUGGCCUCUAUAGACUCCAUGGCAGGCGGGUGGGGUUGCGCUGCUGGAGCAGCGCUGGUGGUGAAGCUUUUAAUGGAUUCACAGCACAGCCUUGUGUUCCACAUAGGCCAAAAAAAUGUGCAGCCUGUCUGAACCCCUCAUGGAUUUCCUGAGGAAUGAAGACAUAGAGGUGGUCAAGAUGAGUCUGUCUGUGUUCACAAAUAUACUCGUGAACAAGGAUAUCCUAACAUCCUGCCCCACAGCCCCCAAACUGGCUGCCGCGCUCCGGCCCCUCUUUGACAGUGUAAGGCUCUGUGCCCCCAGCCAUGGCCCCUAGCUGCUGCCCACAAGGGGGGUGCCCUGUGGCCUGUUGGGCCUGUGCACAGGGGGGCCUGGAGAAUCCAGUGCUGAGCUUUUUCCUUUCCAACAGGACAACAAUCAAGUGCAGUGGCUCUCCAUUGGCCUCUACAAAGAUGUGAUGGAAUCAGUAGUGGAAAGGGGAAAACCGGCCCUGAAGCCUCUUGUGAGCGAGAGCCUGCUUCCUCUCUUCUUCCAUUGCUACGACGAGAACCGGCGUGUGGCACAGGUGAGGCCUCCUGCGUGUCCCCUUGGGAGGGGCUCAGCUGUCUGCCCAGCCCCUGGCACCUGACGGGCUCCAGCCUCCCCCCAGCCCCGGCACAGAGAUGCGGCUCCUGUGCCCUGGGCCGCGGUGCCAUCUCUGGCUCUCUGCUGCCCUGCAGACCUCUCGGGAAACGCUGCUCUCUGCAGUAAAGUUCCUGAAGAGAAGGGAUCUCAGACAGCUGCUCAAGUUGGAUGACCCGUGGAGCUUCGCCGAGCACGUGGUAAGGACAGGCUG
ensembl:lncRNA